UGACUUUCAACCAAAACUAAUAACCCCCAAAAUAUUGAAAGACCAAAACACUAAGGCCCAAAUUAUUUAACAAACGAUGAUCUCAUUAGUUAUAACAAUCCAAUUCCUCUUAUAGAAAAAUCAACCGAAUGGCCCAACGCCCUCUUACUUCUUAUUAGCUAAAGCCAAAAUCCUUUUAUACUAAGAAAAUCUCCACAAUACAAAUAUCCAUAUCUGAUGACUGAACAUUGGUUAAGCUAAGUAAUUAAAGAAUUUAAACAAUUCUAAAAUCGAUGCUCAAAAUUAAUCUUUUAUAUAGACAUAUUUAUACACAGAUUUAGGCAUAAACAAUAUAGGGGGAAAAUUCUGGAUAAAGAAUGAUUGAGAAACGCAUGAAUAGGUUAAAUGGACAUUUACCCAAAUAGUUUUAGAAUUCUUUUUAGAGUACUAAUACUUUUUUACCGGAUUAGUAUGCCUAUAAAUAAGCAAAGGAUGAGACAAGGAACUGCUGAACAUUUGUGCCUAGAAUUAAAACCCGUACAGGAUAAAAUAAAAUAGCAAGAGGAACAUCACUUAUAGAUACAAAUGAACUUAUGUAUAGAUAGCUCAAGUUUAAUUAAUCCUAAUAGAAUACCAAACAAAAAGAAAUGAUUUCAAAUUGAAAGGACAUAUGAAUGAACAAUUGCACAUGACUGCUUUCUCUAGCUCUAUAAUGCACAUAUCGUUUUCAUACAAUUAUAUUUCAUAUCGAAAUGUAAUCCAGAUAUUCAAGAGAGGUACCUGGAUACAACAAGUGAACAGAAAAAGAAAACAGAGCUCUGAAAUCAGCAAGUGACAGUAGAAAAUAACAAAAGCAAUGGCAAGAAGAUAGCAGGAAACCAACAAUACUACAACUUUCAAUUCAAAUCGGCAAACCCAACAAUAUGGAAAUAAGCUAUUAGACCAUGUGAAGGAAAAUCAGCUUGAACAUCUCUUUUUGUUUUUUUUAUUUCCCUAGCUUUGAUCUUAAGGAGAGGAUAAUUAGAAAAUUGCACUCAAGAGAAUUAGCCUAGGUAUUUUGUUGAAGAUUUCCUCUGUAAAAAAACCUUCCUUGUUUUGUGAGCUAAGAGUGCUUUUAUAAGGGAUAUAAAAUUCAGUCCCUUUCUAAUGUGCACUCCCUUAAUUUUAAGAAAAAGAAUCUUUUCAUAACCAACUCUAUAGUUGUCCCUCUCUUAUCCAAAUUUCAGCAUUUUUUUUAAGACUAGAAAUGGACAGCUGAUGCUUUUCUAGAAUCUUCCUAAACAAGCACCCAAAAAUCCCUAUUUUUACUUUCCAAACAACCCCUUCAACCUCUGUUUAUUACAAAUAACCACUCCUAAUUUGACCAAAUUUUAAAUCUUCAAAUGCCCUGAAUUUCCAUAUUCCCUUUUCCCCCUUCAAGUUCAGGGAACAUGCAGAUGCAAGCAACAUUAGCCAAACACACUAUUUAACAAAUAAUUAUUAACUUAUGAGAUUAAACUAAUUAGACACAAAUUAACUAACUGAUUAAGCACUUUAAUUGAAGCAGAAUACAUGACUGGAUUCAGAUAUCACUCCGGCCAAAAUAGAAAAUCAAGCCAAAACCAUAAUAUUAACCUAAACCACGCAAUUAACUAUUGACUAAGCAUGAGAAAUUCUAACAAUCCAUAUAUUAUAGUUACCAAAAUUUCUUCAUUUUUUCGAUCAAAAGAAAAGGAAAACAGAUAAAAACAUAUUAAAGAAGGAGAGAAGAAAAUAAAGGAAAAGAAGAAGAAAAAAACAAGGAAAGAGAAGGAGGAAAAGAGAAGCAAAAAUACCUAGACUAGGCAGAUGAACGGUUGGCUCAGACAAAACUCCGGCCUUCUCCGAUUUAAGCCGAAAUUAGUGUUAAUCGAAUGUUCUUGUUGAGAACAAACGAUUAACACAAGUUUCAGGCCAAAUCGCUCUUGGAAACUUUGAAGGCAUGGCACUUAGGUUUUUUGAUGUUACUAGAUCUAAAAUUGGCCGAAUUUAGCUGAGCUUUUAAGGAAAUUGAUAUGGAAUCUAGGCUUAGGAGUGUGAGGGGAGUUUAGAACAUGAAUUUAGAGUUGUUUGUACAUGGUUGAGUGUUGGCCGCCGGCUAAUGGAUUGAGAGAGUUUUGGGGCAACUAGGUUAGAGUUGUAGUGAGAGAUGGGGGAAAUGGGGGG
rnacentral:lncRNA from 1 species